AAGUAUUUAAGUAUUUAAGUAUUUAAGUAUUUAAGUAUUUAAGUAUUUAAGUAUUUAAGUAUUUAAGUAUUUAAGUAUUUAAGUAUUUAAGUAUUUAAGUAUUUAAGUAUUUAAGUAUUUUAGUGUUAAUGUUAUAUUUUUAAAUAUUUGUGUUUUGUUUAUAUUUUUGUAGUUUUGUAAAAAAUCACAAAAAAAAAAUAUUCCUACUUGCAAAAUUCACAGUGUUGGUGGCAGCUCGAAAAUACACACACAUAACUUUUAAUCCCUCCGUACCGCGAUUCAUUAAACAAUUACUUUCCGGUUCGGAGGCACCGGUUUGGACUGAAGCCGGUAGUACACGUGGAAAGUGUGAUUAAAAUAAACUUUUGCGGCAGCAAAAAUUGAAAGCCAUAUUUUGGCUUUAAAAGGAAACCAUAAUUUUAUUAAUUUUCACAUUAAUGUGGUGCUGUUUGGUUUCCAGCUUCUAAUUUGUUUUAAUAUUUCCGAAGAUUUCGAAACAUUGCACGGGAAAUCCCCCAACAAUUGCAAACUUAUCUUUUAUUUCCGUCUAAUCCCGAAUGAGUGUGUGUGUGUGUGUGCUGUGCAAUCGAAGGCCCCAUCAAUCAUGACAAUUUACAGCGGAGGUUCCACAAACCAUUACGAACCGAUCACUUCCCGGGGGCUUAACGCGCAUUUCAGCUUCAACAGGUGAUAAUGGGCGUAAAAUUACUAUUUUUAUCGCUGAAGACGUCAAACAAGCUUAUCUUCGAGUGCGCACGUUUUGGUCGAAUCAAGGGGUUUAACAAUUUUUUUUUAUUUAGCUUGAAGAUUUAAAUAGAAAAUUAAAAUUUGUACUCCCAACUUAAUGAUAUCAGUAAUCAGAACAAAUUGAAUUGGUGCCCUCCCGCCCCCUUCCCCCAGGAAGUAAAAAAAAAUAAUCAGAAGCAAAAUUGAAUCAGACAACCGUGGUCUACAGUGUUGGAAUCAUCAACAACUGGAGCACUCAGCAGGAGGCGAAUCAUCAUGCUGCAAAAUUUGUUUUUGUUUUUUUUUGCUGUUUCUGCCCGGUUGGCGGUGCAGUAAUUAAUCAGAAUCAGUAUGCAGCAGGUGUGUGCACGGUAUGGAAAAUGCUGCUUUUUCCCCCGCUCGCUCGCGGUGGACAUUUUCCGCUUGUUGCGCAGACAGGAAACAGGACGAUGGAUGUACCGUUGGUACCAAUCUGGGGCGAUGCUGGAACUCACCGGAAGUGCUUUUGUUUAGUGAGGCGGAAACAACUGUUGAGUUUUGUUAGGUUUUUUUUUUGUUGAAUGUUAUGUUUAGUUUCAAACUAUGAGUUUUACAUUACUUUCAUGGUAACUAUUUUUUUCCAUUUAUUUUAAGACUCAAAAGCAGAUUUUUUGAACAUUUUAAACGUAAGACAAAAUGUUUUAACUUUUUAACCAUCAAACAUAUUGAUUUCGAAAUCUAAAGAACAAAAUCAAUUUAAUAUGUUUUUUACGAUUACGAUUAAGAUUAGUAAAUAAUUUUAAAUGAUUUGUAUUUUAAUAUCUUUUUGUAUCAACUCCGUUUAAAAAUUAUUAUUUUUGGAAUUUUAUAUUGUACGCAACAUUGUAGGAAACAAUAAAUAUUAAAUACAUUUUUUAAUGGUAUCAAAGCAAAAUAUGUCAGGCUUAACCAAUUAAUCAUUCUCGGAAUUAAUCUAGAGCUGGGAAUUCAUAAAUUCCAAAAUUUUCUUAAUUUUUUUUAUUUUGCCGGAAUUACAAAAAAUUUACAUUUUUGCCAAAAUAAAAAUAUUUUAUUCCUUCGUAGUAGAGCAAUUCUCUACGAAAUCGUUUUUUUUUAAUUUAAACUUUUGUAUUUCUUAAUCCAGCUGUAAUUUUUUUUUGUGCUUUCGUUAUGUUCAAAGAAGCCAUUUUGCAUCAUAAGUUUGUUCAUACAAUUUUCCAAACAAAUUUGGCAGCUGUCCAUCCAAAAAUGAUAUAUGAAAAGGUAAAGUUGUAGGUAUGAAUAAGAACUACACUGAAAAAAAUGAUACACGGUAAAAUAAAAUGGUGAUUUUUAAUUUAACUUUUUGUCACUAAAACUUGAUUUGCAUAAAAACACUUUUUAAAUGUGUUUUAGGGGACAUAAAAUGCCAACUUUUCAGAAAUUUCCAGGUUGUGCAAAAAAUCUUUGACCGCGUUUUUAAUUUUUGAACCAAUACCGUUUUUUUCAAAAAAUCUAAAUAUUGGUCGCAGAAAAUUUUCAACUUCAUUUUUCGAUGUUAUAUCGAAUUUGCAAACCAAAAGUACUUUAGUGAAAUUUUGAUACAGUGAACCGUUUUCAAGUUGAAGCCAUUUUUAGGUAACUGUUAAAAAAAUCACAGUCAUUUAUUUGUUUAAAAAUGUGUGCCCAUGUUUGCCAACUUUUGAAAAGCUGAGAAAAUUCUCUAUAUUUUUCUUUUUUGAACCUUGUUGAUACGACCCUUAGUUGUUGAGAGAUUGCCAUGUAAAGGUUUAAAAACAAGAAAAUUGAUUCGCAAUUCGCAAUUCGCAAUUUUCAGUGUAAGAACGGGCCUUGACCGAUCUUAUGCACUAGGUUCCCGACGAACACCCACUGCCCUUACACCUACAUCUCACCCUUGCUCUGAGUCAGUACGAGCAGCACGCUAGAACACGCUUUGAGUGUUCGUGCCAGGCAUGCACACCUUCUUUUCCGGUUACGCAUUUUAACUCGGCCGGGGGUGGUACAUUACGUAGGGUUUGAUGUAAGUAUAAGCGCCUAACCAUUUAAAGUGUGCCUAACAACUUUCAUUAAAGCAAAAACUGUUUUAUUUUUAGUUUGAAUUCAAAAACUAAUUGUUAUUUACUGUGUAUUGUUUUCUCCUGAAAUCUUCCCUAUUGUUAAGUCUGUUUAUCUGUUGCUAUUUCUUUUGUCGCGGUGUUUUGUUACAAUUUUUGGUCCUAAGCAUGUUGUAAAAGUUUACCAAAAAUACAAUAGUAAUAUUUGUGUUAAUCCUUUAACCAUUCCAUAAAUUGAGUAAGGGCUCAAACCUCACUUGUUUGAAAAAAAGGGUGAAGAUUGAAAACAAUUGACAGUAGAAGAUAAUUUAUUUUAUAAAAAUCAAGUAUCAAUAGUAAGAGAAUGAUGAGCGUAUUUUGAAGAAUAAAAAUGAGAAGCUAGAUGUAUUAGAUGUAAAAUUAGACAAUAGUUAAUAAAAAGAGAUACAAAACAAGCUUAGAUUAUAGUAAUGAUAAUUUAUAGGACAGAUAAAGAAUUAUUCAAAUAAAUAAAUUCGCAAUAAAAUCAAAAAAGAUUAGGCGAAUGAUAAAUAGACUUGAUAUUACUAGUACAUUAAGGAAAAGUAUAUUUUUAUGGAAAAAAAACAAAACAAAGUUUGUUACAGCAGUAUCAAUUGAUAGAAAAGAGUGGAAAAUCUUUGAGAGAUAAGAGAAUCAAAAGUUAGUAAAAUUAAAAUCAAAUGUUGGAUAUUAAAUAAAAGAAUCAGUGAAGAAUUGGGAAUCAGAAGAGCAAAAUAAAAAUAGGAGAUAGGUGGUAGCUGAGAAUGAAGAGAAGAGAAACCCCGUUGUGCGAUGUUUUAGGUACAUCCACAGCAGUUGACUCAACAUACUGCGAAUCAAAACAAUACCGUCUACAAUCACAAAUUACUUCCCUUUCCCACAUUGUUGCGCCCCUUUCUUUUAGCCGUCUCGACUCUGACCCGCGGUGGUCAAAGGUUUACGAUCCGUUUCCACAGGCCACCAGCUAGGUCAUCAUGAAAACCAAGCCAACGUGGAGGUAAGAAAAUAGGACACUCGCAAGGAACCAGAGCUAUACUGUUCUGAUCAAGAUAAUUCGGAUGAUCUAACAGAACUACGGAUGUAGUUAGUUACGCUCCUUCCAGGAUGUUCCUUACGUGGACGUCAACCGAAGAGCACGCAACAAGGUCAGUGCCAUUGCAUGCUCUUAGGUAUCAAUCCUUGGCCUGCUUUAAAAACAAGAAAAUUGAUGUAUUCAAAGUUUCACAUUCGUGAAAUUUUCCGAUCUUUUCGAAAACAAUAUUUACAAAAAAAUUAAAUCGAGACUAACAUUUGAAAAGGGCCAAACAUUCAAUAAUACGCCCUUUUGAAAUGUAAGUCUUGAUUUAAAAUUUGGAAAACAAUUCUCUACCAAAAUUGGAAGUGGAUUUUAUUUGUAUUUUUUUAUUUGGUUCAAAUUUUGUCGGGGCCUUCCCUAUGAACAAAGAAGCUAUUUUGUGUCAUUGGUUAGCCCAUACAAAACUCCAAACAAUUUUGGCAACUGUCCUUACCAUUUUUUUGUACUUCAAUAUUCGAAAAUCUGUAACUUUUGAAUUAAUUUUCUGAUCAGUUUGGUUUCUUGCGCAAACUCGAUUUCCCAAAACCCGUAUUUUUUAUACCGUAAACUGGGGUGACUUUGAUAGCCUGGGGUGACAUUGAUAGAAAUUUGAUUUGGCCACAAAUUUUGAUACAUCCAAUGUAACAGUCACAUUUUUGCAUAUAUGUUCGAUAAUAAGCUUACAUAAUAUGCUACAUACUUAAAAUUCUCAAAAAUGUUUCGAUACUAAUUUGACGGGCAUUUGAAAAACCUAUCAAAGUCACCCCGGGCUAUCAAAGUCACCCCAGUUUACGGUAGAUUUUUUGAUUUGCUUUAGGGGAUAAAAACCCGCAACUUUUGAGCCGUAGAGAAGUUUGGUCGAAAAUUCUGCUCGAAAACAAUAUUUAGAAAAAAAUCAAUCAAGAAUAACAUUUCAAAACGGCCAACCAUGCAAUAUUACGCCCUUUUGAAAUGUAAGUCUUGAAAUGUUGUUUUCAAAAAGAUCGGAAAAUUUCACGAAUGUUUCAUAUUUAAACAUUGAAAAUUUGACCAUUAAUUGCUGAGAUAUCGACACUCGAAAAUGGUGGGUUGUUUGGGUGAGACUUAGAAAACAUCAAUUUUCCAGUUUCUUUUUGUUUGCUAUGACCAGUGUUGCGUUCCUCACGCGCUCACGCGCUCGUGAGCGCUCACUUUUCGCUCAUUCGUGGGGAGGAGCGCUGCGCGAGCUAGCUCACGUUUGCCCGCGCUCACGUUUGCUCCGAUUUUUUCAGCUCGCGUUUGCUCCACGCUCGCGCUCACGCUCAUAUUUCGCUCACGGAGCGCUCAUUUUGGACGUGUCGCUUAUCAUUUAACGUUUAUGAGAAAGUUUUUUUUUUCAAUUCUAGAUGGAAUUUUUGCGUAAGGUGCAGUAGGGCUGUGGAAAUAUGACUUUGUGAACAAAUUUUAUGAUAUAUGAAUUGGAAUAGCUUAUUUUCAUCAAUCAUGUUUUUACAUAAAAGAAUUUAAAGGCCUUAUUGUAGCAGAGAGGGGCGGAGGGGUAUAGACGCCUAAAUAAAAGGGCCUGUAAACCUUAGAAAAACUUACAAAACAAUGAAUUGAUUCAAGAGGAUUUAUGCUUUGGUAAGUUCGAUUCAAGGUGAAAUGCUUGGUUGAUUAAAAUAUAACAUUAAACUGUUUUAUGUACCUAAUCAGUGUUUUGACUACAUUUCCAGAUUGCGGGUCAGAAUGAGCUACCAUUAAAAAAAGUUAUUCCGUUUAUUAAAUCUUUCAGUGAUUCAGUGAUUAGAAACGGCUAAUCAUUUCUAUAAGGUUAGUCUUUAUUUAGCAAACAUUUUAGAAAAUAGGGUAACAUUUUUGAAACAGUUCUAUUUUAAAUAUAUGCCUCAAAAUUCCUAAGGGUUGAAAUAACCCUUUUGACUCAAAUCAAAUAAAUUGUCAAUAUUUUUCACCACGAAAAGGUUGGCUCUUCUUCCAACAAGUGGAUUUUAUUCAACAUUUUCGCAACCAAACCUCUGAAAAUAUUCAGUUACAAGUUAUAUAUGAUUUUUUGAACAUGGAUGAUUGUAACUGUUUAAAAGAUUAUUUAAACAUAAAUAAAAUAUACAUAAAUUGUCAAUAUUUGUGUACAUAACAACAAUACAAUAUGGUCCAAUAUGGAUUUGAUUUGUGAACAAACAGUGCAUCUCUUCACGACAAUGAAUGUUUACAUUAUGAAUUUAGUUUUUUGUUCCUUGUUCGAAAAAUGUCUAGAUUUUAAAUAGAACGUAAAUUUCGGAUCGCCGAUCAAAUCCAUUUCAUUGCCUACUUUUGUUUGUUCGACCACUUUCUUGAUUUUUUUUUGCUGCCUGUGCUAAGAUAGUUCUAGAAACUUCGUUUCAAACAGGCAGAUGCUUCAACAGGAAAAAACAACUACCUACUUUGGCUCACCAGCUCACGUGAGCGCAAAACGCUCCGGUGAGCGUGAGCGAGCACGAGCUACCUGAUAAAAACUCACGCUCCAGCUGGAGCGAGCAAGCCUUCCGUGAGCGCUCGCUCAUUCGCAACCCUGGCUAUGACACAGAGGUUUAACCUUCAAUGUUUCUUAGACAAUUUUACAGUAAAUUUUCUGUACUUAAAAAAAAUCAGAAAUUGUAACUCAUGGUGACUAUUUUCAAAAACCGAAAAAUUGCAAAUCUUUCAUUGGAAUCAAACUUUCGUUGGUUAUAUCUUGAAAACGAGGCCCUUUAUUAUAAAUUCUGUUCAGUACUUUUCAAUUGCAAGUUCAAUUUUACAUUAAAAUUAGGUCAAAAAAUUUAUGUAUAAAAUAUCGAUUUUUUUCCAUAAAUAACUUUUUUCAAAAAAAAUAUGGCUCGGCGGCAAAAUUUUUGACUCAAAAGUAACAGUUUUUUUUGAAAAUAAAACAAUACUGAUUUUGAGAAAUUGAGUUUUAAAAUCGGCAACAUUUUUAUCUUAUUUUUUCUGAACAGUCCUUAUUAAAACCUUCAACUUUGCCAAAGACACCAAAUUGAUCAGAAAAUUCAUUCAAAUUUACAGAUUUUCGAAUAUUUACGUACCAUUUUUGUAUGAAUGCUGCCAAAAUUGCUUCUGUGGUAUAGAAAAGGCCCCCACAAAGUUUGAGCCAAAUAUAAAAA